UCCGCAGGCGGGCUUUUUAGUCGGGGGUGAAAUCCUGCAGCUUAACUGUAGAACUGCCUCCGAUACUGGAAGUCUUGAAUAUGGUAGAGGGCAACGGAAUUCCAGGUGUAGCGGUGAAAUGCUUAGAUAUCUGGAAGAACACCGGUUGCGAAGGCUGUUGCCUGGGCCAUUAUUGACGCUCAUGGACGAAAGCGUGGGGAUCAAACA
rnacentral:rRNA from 1 species